UACGUAGGGUGCGAGCGUUAAUCGGAAUUACUGGGCGUAAAGCGUGCGCAGGCGGUCCGUUGUGUCUGCGGUGAAAUCCCCGGGCUUAACCUGGGAAUGGCAUUGGAAACUGGCGAGCUUGAGUGCGGCAGAGGGGGGUGGAAUUCCGCGUGUAGCAGUGAAAUGCGUAGAGAUGCGGAGGAACACCGAUGGCGAAGGCAGCCCCUGGGUCGACACUGACGCUCAGGCACGAAAGCGUGGGGAGCAAACAGG
rnacentral:rRNA from 1 species